GUUCCUUGUUCACAGCUGCUUGAAUUCACUGCAUUUCGGUUUCACAGGUCAGAGUUCUAACAUGAUCAUCUCUCCUCACCCUGUUAAGGCUCUUUGGGACAAAUCACUUGAAUUAUGAUUCUCGCUGCAAAAAGCAUUCUCAAGUUCUAACCGACUUCAACAGGAACCAGUUAGGUCUUUAUUCAGUGGUUCUGAUAAUUUAGUCAGCGAAGCAUACUCUGAUCUAAUCGCUUCCUCAAAGAAAACAUUGGAUUCCAUACCGGAGUUAGAACAGGUGCGACGGUGGAGAAAAAUAUCCCUAUCUGAAUUAAGCGCUAGGUGAGAAUAAUCCUUCAAUUGCUCGAUCCAUAGAUGGUAUGACAUGUC